rnacentral:rRNA from 1 species
AGGUUCGAUUCUGGCUCAGGAUGAACGCUGGCGGCGUGCUUAACACAUGCAAGUCGAACGGAGCAGUUAUACGAUCCCUUCGGGGUGACGAUUUACUGACUGAGUGGCGGACGGGUGAGUAACGCGUGGGUAACCUACCUUGUACAGGGGGACAACAGUUGGAAACGACUGCUAAUACCGCAUAAGCGCACAGCUUCGCAUGAAGCAGUGUGAAAAGUUAUUUCGGUACAAGAUGGACCCGCGUCUGAUUAGCUAGUUGGUGAGGUAACGGCCCACCAAGGCGACGAUCAGUAGCCGACCUGAGAGGGUGACCGGCCACAUUGGGACUGAGACACGGCCCAAACUCCUACGGGAGGCAGCAGUGGGGAAUAUUGCACAAUGGGCGAAAGCCUGAUGCAAGCGACGCCGCGUGAGCGAAGAAGUAUUUCGGUAUGUAAAGCUCUAUCAGCAGGGAAGAUAAUGACGGUACCUGACUAAGAAGCACCGGCUAAAUACGUGCCAGCCGCCGC